AUCCUGGCUCAGGAUGAACGCUAGCGGCAGGCUUAACACAUGCAAGUCGAGGGGUANGGUUCUUCGGANCUNGAGACCGGCGCACGGGUGCGUAACGCGUAUGCAAUCUACCUUUUACAGAGGGAUAGCCCAGAGAAAUUUGGAUUAAUACCUCAUAGCAUAGCAGCUUCGCAUGAAGCCACUAUUAAAGUCACAACGGUAAAAGAUGAGCAUGCGUCCCAUUAGCUAGUUGGUAAGGUAACGGCUUACCAAGGCUACGAUGGGUAGGGGUCNUGAGAGGGAGAUCCCCCACACUGGUACUGAGACACGGACCAGACUCCUACGGGAGGCAGCAGUGAGGAAUAUUGGACAAUGGGCGCAAGCCUGAUCCAGCCAUGCCGCGUGCAGGAUGACGGUCCUAUGGAUUGUAAACUGCUUUUAUACGAGAAGAAACACUACUUCGUGAAGUAGCUUUACGGUAUCGUAA
rnacentral:rRNA from 1 species